UUUAUGGAGAGUUUGAUCCUGGCUCAGGAUGAACGCUGGCGGCGUGCCUAAUACAUGCAAGUCGAGCGAACGGACGAGAAGCUUGCUUCUCUGAUGUUAGCGGCGGACGGGUGAGUAACACGUGGAUAACCUACCUAUAAGACUGGGAUAACUUCGGGAAACCGGAGCUAAUACCGGAUAAUAUUUUGAACCGCAUGGUUCAAAAGUGAAAGACGGUCUUGCUGUCACUUAUAGAUGGAUCCGCGCUGCAUUAGCUAGUUGGUAAGGUAACGGCUUACCAAGGCAACGAUGCAUAGCCGACCUGAGAGGGUGAUCGGCCACACUGGAACUGAGACACGGUCCAGACUCCUACGGGAGGCAGCAGUAGGGAAUCUUCCGCAAUGGGCGAAAGCCUGACGGAGCAACGCCGCGUGAGUGAUGAAGGUCUUCGGAUCGUAAAACUCUGUUAUUAGGGAAGAACAUAUGUGUAAGUAACUGUGCACAUCUUGACGGUACCUAAUCAGAAAGCCACGGCUAACUACGUGCCAGCAGCCGCGGUAAUACGUAGGUGGCAAGCGUUAUCCGGAAUUAUUGGGCGUAAAGCGCGCGUAGGCGGUUUUUUAAGUCUGAUGUGAAAGCCCACGGCUCAACCGUGGAGGGUCAUUGGAAACUGGAAAACUUGAGUGCAGAAGAGGAAAGUGGAAUUCCAUGUGUAGCGGUGAAAUGCGCAGAGAUAUGGAGGAACACCAGUGGCGAAGGCGACUUUCUGGUCUGUAACUGACGCUGAUGUGCGAAAGCGUGGGGAUCAAACAGGAUUAGAUACCCUGGUAGUCCACGCCGUAAACGAUGAGUGCUAAGUGUUAGGGGGUUUCCGCCCCUUAGUGCUGCAGCUAACGCAUUAAGCACUCCGCCUGGGGAGUACGACCGCAAGGUUGAAACUCAAAGGAAUUGACGGGGACCCGCACAAGCGGUGGAGCAUGUGGUUUAAUUCGAAGCAACGCGAAGAACCUUACCAAAUCUUGACAUCCUUUGACAACUCUAGAGAUAGAGCCUUCCCCUUCGGGGGACAAAGUGACAGGUGGUGCAUGGUUGUCGUCAGCUCGUGUCGUGAGAUGUUGGGUUAAGUCCCGCAACGAGCGCAACCCUUAAGCUUAGUUGCCAUCAUUAAGUUGGGCACUCUAAGUUGACUGCCGGUGA
rnacentral:rRNA from 1 species